rnacentral:lncRNA from 1 species
GCGACGGUGGCGAACCCUCUUCCUUUUCCUCUUUCCUCUUCCUCUUUUCCCUUCUUCUUCCUUCUUCCUUCUUCCUCUUCCUCUUCCCUCUUCUUCGUCACCGGCGAGGGAGAAGAACCUCGUCGGGGUCGGCCUCGGAAAGGCGGGUGAGUUUCUGUUCGAGAAGCUCGAGGGCGUUGUUGUCGACGAGGGCGGCGACGAGGGCAUGCGCGGGGUCGUCGUGGUCGCCGAGGACGUCGGCGUCGGUGAGGUCGCUGAGGAGGGAGACGAUGUCGAUGGCGAUGUCAGCGAUGUCGUGGCCGAAGAGGCCGACGAGGGAGGGGACGGCGUUGAGGGCGACGAGCUCCGGGUAGAGCUCCGGUGCCCCGGCGUUCUUCUCUCUUCUUCGUCGCCGGCGAACCAGACCCUGCGCCGCCGCUGCUGUAGUCCGCUUCGACGGUCCGAAGAGGAAGAGAAAGAGAAGGGAAGAGGAAAACUUUUGAAGGGAUAUAUUUGUGAGGGUAAAAUGGUUAUUUCAUGAAUCCACUGUUAAAAAAUAAACAGAUCACUAACGGAUGUUAACCGGAGGGACAUAUCUGCAUAAUUUAGGACUUUUACAAGAACAACUUAUGAAGUUUUCGUUUUGCAGUAAUAUUUUCGCAAUUCACUAUGUUUGCAGGAAUGUGUAUGCAAAUAACCCAUUUAAGAUUGUGACAAAAUAUAGGACGAUAAUUCAUACAAUAUUUAAUGCGAUGGGGUUGCUCAGACUGGGACUAAAGUAAAAAAAUUUUAAAAAAUGGGUUUUUUGAAAAAAAAAUUUAGCCUAUCUGAUCGAAGGGCAGAACGUGCCCCUCUCUCCUCCCCUCCGAUCAAAGGGGAGAACGUGCCCCCCUCCAUGAACUUUUCAAUUAUUUUUUAGUCCUUCAAUUUGGGUAUUUAAAAUUCUGAACCAUCAAUAAUAUUUUAUUUUAGUCCAUAAACUUUAACUAGUUUGUUUUUUGUGCUUUUUAUCUUGGGCCAAAAGUUAUUGCUUACAUUUAGUUCAUCUUUUAUUUGUAUAUCAUAAAUUUUAUAGAUUUUUUUGUCCAACUAUAUCAAUCUAGUUGCCUAUAUUUUAAAUAAAAAUAUUACUCAACGGAUAAUAAAUGAGAUAAUUGAUGAAAAAAUCAGCUCGUGUUCGGCUCGUUUAUUAAUAAGGUGAAUACGAGCUAGCUCACAAGCAACAAAUUAAAAUGAUUAAAAAUUAUAUAUAUAAAAAAUAAGCUUAUAAGAUCUUACCCAUUAGAUUUUGGUCUAAUAAUUGAAAUUUUACACAUAAAUAGGUCAUUUUAUAAUUGAGUUGAGGCUUUAUAUUUAAAUUGGACUAAAAUUUAAAUAAUAAAACUCUAUAUUUUAUAAAUAUAAUUAUUUAUUUAUAAAUAUAAAUAUAAAAUAUAUAAAUUAUAUAUGUACAAAAUAUAUGUAAUCGAGCUGAUAUCGAGCCGAACAUGAGUAAGCUGAUCCCAGCUCAUGUUUGGUUCAUUUAUUAAACGAGCUAAAAAAUUCAGCUUAUGUUCGGCUCGUUUACUAAACGAACGAUUCGAUCAAGAGCUCAUUUUCGAGUCGAACGUGAGCUGGCUCAUGAACAGCGAGAUAGAUUGCCACCCCUAGACUCUAUAUCAAAAUUGAAAGUUUCAGAACCAAAUAUAAACCUAGUUGAUUGUUUGAGGACUAGUGAUGCACUUGAUCUUUGUUAGAUUGCAUGUAUUAUGAGAAAAUUUAAAAGAUUAGCUACCUAUCAUGUACAAACUAUUUAAAUCAUUAUUCAUCUAUAAUAUUAUAAAAUUGACUGAUUAAUUGCACAUUCUUGUGUAUGCUUAUAUAUUGUAAGAAAAAUUUUACUUAUACAUCCCAAAAGAAGGGUGUAAUUUUAUACUUUUUAUCUUCAAAUUUAUAAAAAUUUAAAUAAAUUAAAUAAAAAACAAAUAAAUUAUAUAUUGGUAAGUAAACAAUCAAUAGCCCUUCGAUUUUAAAACUAUCAGAUAUAUGGCUAAUUUUAGUGCGUACCUGUAGCAUUGUUACUAUAGCAAUUGAAGUAUCGGGAAGCUUAAGAAAAAUCCAAACUAAUCCCCUUCUUGAUGUGACCCUCUUAACAACCACAGUUAAAAAAAAAAAUGUUGCUUGUAACUAGUUCAGCACGGCAACCAAGAACAUGUAAAUGAUUUGCUCUUCGUUUUAUCUUUUAUUUUCAAGAAAAUUGUACCUCACCAAAUGACCUUUCUUUUUUUCUUUCUGUGAAUACGCCCCAAUUAAUGCACUUAUAUUCAAGCUUAUGUCCUUUAAAUGUUGCACUAAAUUAUUUUUAAAUAAUUUAUUCUUGUUUUUUAAUGUUGCAAUAAGUUAUUAUUAAAAAUUUAAUCGUUAUGAAUUUUUUAUUGUGUACAUAAAAUCUAACUUUUACUCUUUAACAUAUCUUUUUAUUUUGGCCAAUUUGCAUAAAAAAUUCACAAAUUUUGAGCUUUUGUAAAAUUGGGCCGUCUUUUCCAAUUUUACAGAUUCAGAUCAAAUUUUCAACAAACUGAUUAUUAUUUUUUCUCUUGUUUUUUUUUUUUUUUUUUUUUUUUUAGAGAGAGAGAGAGAGAUGAGAGGGAGGUCCGCCGUGGACCUCCCUCUCAUGUGGUCCACGGGGCCACUUUGGCCCUGUGGACCCCGUGCAACCCACCACCACGCCGCCCGCGCCGCCCCCCCGGCCCGCCUCCCGGCGCGCACCUCGCCCCGCGCGCAAGCGCUGAGCCCACCCUGCGCCGGCGCCCGCCCGCCCGGCCGUGCCCGCGGCCGCCCCCAGCCCGCGCCAUCCUCGCGCCUCGGCCUCCUCGCAGACCCCGGCGCCCCCGCGCCCGACCUCACCGGCGCCAGCCCUGGCCCCGCGGCGGGAGCGCUGGAGCCGCCCGCCCGCGCUGGGAGAGGCAGAGAGAAGAGGGAGCGGGGGGAGGGAAGAGGGGAAAAAACACGGGGGAGAGAGAGGGAGAGAGCAGAGGAGAGAGGGGGUGGUGGUGGGAGAGGGAAGAGAGCAGGGGGUAGGGAGAGUAAAGAGGUGGCGGGAGAGAGAGAGACACUUCUCUCUCUCCCGGCGCGCGCAGGGCCCCUUGGUCCCCCUGUGUCCCCCUCUCUCUCUCUCUAUCUCUCUCUCUUCCCCGCGCGCACCCGCCGCCGCGCGUGGGCGCGGUCGGGUACCCCGACCCCGCCGUGUCCCCCUCUCUCUACACGCGGGCCCUUGGGCCCCGGUCCCCCCUAUCUCUCUACCUCUCUCUCUCUCUCUGUCUGCUCUCUCUAUCACUCUCCUCUCCCUCUCUCUCUCAGUCUCUCUCUCUCCCUCUAUCUCUCUCCUCUCUCUCUCUCUCUCUCUCCCUCUGCUCCCCCUCCCUCUCUCUCUCCCUCUGCUCUCUCUCUCUCUUCCCGCGCGCAGGCGCCACGCCUCGCUCUCUCCCUCUUCUCUCUUCCUCUCUUCCUGCGAGCGCGGAGAUGCGCACACGUCGGCCACAGUAGAACUCAGCUUUAAUAUAUGUAUUGAUGAUUGAUAUUGAUUGAUAUGAUGAUGCCUCUAUUCAACAACUGAGUUCAAUGGAGCUUACCAUCACCAAAACAGUACUCAUAAGAAACUUUAAAUUGGCUUUUAAAUUGACAUGAACGGGUAUUAGUUUCAAGACGCUGUCACAAAACAAAGUUAAUUUUAAAAAAAAAAUUAGUACUUUUUUAUUUGGUGGAAGAAUACAAAAAUAAUAAAUAUAUAUAUAAUAGUAGAUUGUUGGAUGAUUUAUAAGAAAUAUAUAAAAACCAGAUAAAGCAAUAAAUUCUUGGCUAAAUUAUUAAAAAGCCUCCUUCACUUAGUGCUUGUCUCAAUUACCCUUUCUUGCAUAAAAAUUAACAUCAAUUACCUCUCUAUACUUUGCGGUAGAUUUGGUUAGAUUUGUAGUUGAUCAUAGUUAGAUAAGAUUAACAAUUUAAAUCUAUUCAAGAUAAAUUAAGAUUAAAUAUUAAUUAGAGUAUAAAUCUAACUAGUUUAGAAUAAAUAUUUAAAUCGAUCUAUGAGAUAAACUAAAUAUAAAUUUAAAUAUUUAUCGAGCAUGAAUCCUAUUAUACUAGAAUUUGUGGUAACUUUGAUGUAAGCUAUAAAUAUAAGUAAUAGGUGAUAUUAUUUUAGUGUGGUAUGGAUUAUCAACCUAUAUGGCAUGGCUAAGAUGGUCAUGAUUUUGGUUGCAUAUAGUGCAUGGUGCAAGGACGGCGUGUGCGCUUUCGUAGCCGUGGGUCAUUGGUAUACCUGUGUACGGAAUGCACAGGAUAAGAGAGAUGUCUUCUGGAGAAUAGAAGACGACGAGAAAAGUAUUGAGAGAUUCAAGAAAGAGGCUCGGAUUAUAGCUAUCUGUGCAGAAGAGGAGUCAGGUGUAAUCUUCUUUAUUUAAUGAAUCUUAUUUUACUCGCAUAUUUUCUUUUCAUGAUUAUAUCAGCUCUGCUGAGAGAACGGGUAUGGUAAAAAUACGAUUUUACGCUUCCUUGCGGAAUUCCAACAAUCGGUACCGGAUCCACAGCAGUCAGUAUUGAAGAGGGUUGCGGAUUCACACGAUCCGGUACCGGGAAGCUACCGGAUUCCCACCACUUUGUCAUAAUCUAAAUAAGUUCUGCUAUUUGGAUAAUGUUGAAUUCAGUUAUAAAAUUUUAUAUACAAAUCUAACAGUAUAAAAUUAUAUAAAUUAAUAAUUGUCAAUAAAUUAUAAAUUUUGAUAGCAUAACAAAUAUGAGAUCUGCCUUUAUCUAAAUUUUUUAUAUAUUUUUUUGUUGUAAAUUAGAUAUAAUUAAAAUGUGGAACAAUAUAAUAAGCCAAUUCAUUUAAUAAAAUUUACAGCAUAAUUUACUAAUUUCUUAAUUUUUGUCUAUUUUAAGAUGGUUAUUUGCAUACACGCUCCCUGCAAAUAUACUGAAUUGCAAAAAUAUCCCUGCAAAACGAGAACAUCUCCCUACAAAAGUCCUAAGAUUUAUGCAGAUAUGUCCCUGCCGUCCAGAUCUGCUAGAAAAUUUUGUUAACCACGAUUAAAAUAUUUAACCAUGGUUAAUUAUAGGUGAAUUGACGGUAUUUAUCCUUCUUCCUCUUCCUCAUCCUCCUCUUCCUCUUUCUUCUUCUUCGUUGUCCGGCGAGGAGUAAUACGGCGGCGACGUGGCGAACCUCUUCCUUUUCUCUUUCUCUUCCUCUUUUCCCUUCUUCUUCUUCUUCCUUCUUCCCUCUUCUCUUCCCUAUCCAACUAAGAAUAUUGUGACCCUCUUAAAUACCUACAACAAUAGUUGAAUUUUAAAUUACAACCAAACUGUAAAUUUAAAUUCAAAACAACAUUUAAAACUUUAUAAAUCAAAUUUAAUUUUUUUGAAUAUAAAACAUAAAUUUAAAAUAAAACUUUUUGUUCCAAUUCAAAAUUUCAAUUUAAAUCAAAAAUUAAAAUUUGGCUUUAAGAUUAAACGUUCAAUUUAGAUUCAAAUUUAAAAGUUUAAUAUAAAUUUCAAAAUUAAAAUUUUACAUUACAAUACUAAUUUCAAAAAUUAAAUUUAAAUUCAAUAUUUUUUUGAGAUGGAUACUUAAUAAAUUGGAUAUCAUCUAAUUUGGUAAGUUAUCAAAGUAAAUAAGAUAUUUAAUAUUUAAAGGAUACUGACAAAUUUGGUAUAUACUAAUUUUUUUUCAAUAUUGUCAUGUUAAUUAAUUCAAAUCGGUAACCUGUUCAACAGGUUACUUCGUGUAAAUCCCAACUAUACCCUUUACUAAUUAAGAAAUUAAAUUUUAAUACUUGUGGUGUAUUGAAGCAUUCCUCUUAUAUAUAUAUAUAUAUAUGUUAAAAUUAAAAUUUAAAAUUUAUAUAUAAAAUUUAAAAUUGUAAAAUUCACUCUCUCUCCCUCUCUCUUUCUCUUUCUCCCUGACUCCCUCCUCUCUCUCUGUCUGCUCUCUCUCUCUCCUCCCUCUGUUCUCUCUCUCUCCCUCUUACCAUUAAAUAUGAUCUAGGGUAUACGAAGUUUUUAGGAAUAAAAUUUUAAUUUUUUUCGAUAUCGUUUACUUAGUAAAUAAAUUAUGUCAAAAAUGGACGGUAAAAAUUGAAUACUUUUUAAAAUUUGAGUAUAGGACUUUUAAAUUUAAGAUCAAGAAUGUUAACCUUAAUCUAUAUGGUUUCAAGUAUUUUCUAUCAAAAUUUGAAGAAAUUUAGAUUCUUCUACACCGUUAAACUCCAAACUCGUCAUAAUAGCCAUUGAAAAUUGACAAUUUUGAAAUUGUUUGAUAAUAAUGUAAACUAUGUCGAAAAAAUAUAAAAUUUUAUUUCUAAAAACUUUAAAUACCCUAGAUCAGUGGAACACCUCGCGGGCGGUGACGGAAAGGCAGCAUCACGCGUAGGGGGAGAUAAGGUGGUUGCAAAAGGGGGGAGACCCAGGACGGGAAAGCGUAGUCGCGCCGGUGGAUCCUCUGGUACAUGAGCGGGAUGUUGGUUGACUUCGCGGUGCGCCACGCCGCGCGCGUGGCAGUAGCGCAGCGCUGCGACAAUCUGCAGCAGGUCUAAAUUAUUUAAUAUUUAUUUAUAUAUUUUAUUUUUUAAUAUAUCUAUAUAAAAAUAAAAUAGUAUAUAAUAUAUAUAUAUAUAUUUAUAAAUAAAAUUAUUUAUAUAUAUAUAAAUAAAAUUAUAUAUAUAUAUAAAAUACUAUAUAUAAUACAUAAAUAUAUAUUUAUAAAUAAAUUAUAUAUAGAGAGAGAGAGAGAUGAGAGAGAGGUCCGCGUGGACCUCCCUUCUCAUGGGCCACGGGGCACUUUGGCCCUGUGGACCCCGUGCAACCCACCACCACGCCGCCCGCGCCGCCCCCGGCCGCCUCCUCCUGGCGCGCACUCGCCCCGCCGGCACAAGCCUUGGAGCCCACCCGUGCGCCGGCGCCCUGCCGCCCGGGCCGUCCCGCGGCCGCCCGCCAGCCCGCCAUCCUCGCGCCUCGGCCAUCCUCCAGACCCCGCGCCCCCGGCCCGACCAUCACCGGCCCAGCCUGGCCCCCGCCGGCGGGAGCGCUGAAAGCCGCCCGCCCGCGCUGGGUUAGAGGAGCUAGAGGAGGAAGAGAUUGGAGCGGGGAAGGGAAGAGUGGGAAAAAACACGGGGGGAGAGAGACGGGAAGAGCACAGGAGAGAGGAGGUGGUGGUGGUGAGAGGGAAGAGAGCAGGGGUAGGGAUGAGGUAAGAGGUCGGCGGCAGAGAGAGAGGGACACUCUCCUCUUCUCCCGGCGCGCGUGGGCCCUUGGUCCCCCUGUGUCCCCCUCUCUCUUCUCUAUCUCUCUCUCUUUCCCCGCGCGCCCCCCGGCGGUGGGCGCGGUCGAGUACCCCGAUCCCGCCGUGUCCCCCUCUCUCUACACGCGGCGCCCUUGGGCCCCUGUCCCCCCUAUCUCUUCUACCUCUCUCUCUCAUCUCUGUCUGUUUUGCUCCUAUCACUCUCGAUCGUCCCCCUCUCUCAGUCUCUCCUCGUCUCCCUCUAUCUCUCUCGCUCUCUCUCUUCUCUCCUCCCCUCUCUCCUCCCCCCUCUCUCUCCCUCUGCUCUCUCAUCUCUCUUCCCCGCGCCAGGGCCACGCCUCGCUUUCACCUCUUCUCUCUUCCUCUCUUCCCUGCGGGAGGCGCGAGAGAUGAUCGCCACGUCGGCCACGAGUAAACUCAGCUUUAAUAUAUGUAUUGAUGAUUUGAUAUCUGUUGAUAUUCGAGAAUCCCCUCAUAUUCAACAACUGAGUUCAAUGGAGCUUACCAUCACCAAAACAGUACUCAUAAGAAACUUUAAAUUGGCUUUUAAAUUUGACAAUGAACGGGUAUUAGUUUUCAAGACGCUGUCACAAAACAAAGUUAAUUUUAAAAAAAAAAAUUAGUACUUUUUUUAUUUGGUGGUGAAGAUACAAAAAUAAUAAAAUAUAUAUAAAUAGUAGAUUGUUGGAUGAUUUAUAAGAAAUAUGAUAAACCAGAUUUAAGCAAUAAAUUCUUGGCUAAAUUAUAAAAGCCUCCUUUCACUUAGUGCUUGUCUCAAUUACCCCUUUCUGCAUAAAAAUUAACAUCAAUUACCUCUCUAUACUUUGCGGUAGGAUUUGGUUAGAUUUGUAGUUGAAUCAUAGUUAGAUAAGAAUUAAUAUUUAAAUCUAUUCAAGAUAAAUUAAGAUUUAAAUAUUAAUUAGAGUAUAAAUCUAACUAGUUUAGAAUAAAUAUUUAAAUCGAUCUAUUGGAGAUAAACUAAAUAUAAAUUUAAAUAUUUAUCGGAGCAUGAAUCCUAAUUAUACUAGAAUUUGGGUAACUUUUGAUGUAAGCUAUAAAUAUAGUAUAGGUGAUAUUAUUUUAGUGGUGGUAUGGAUUAGUCACACCUAUAUGGCAUGGCUAAGAUGGUCAUGAUUUUGGUUGCAUAUAGUGCAUGGUGCAAAAGGACGUGUGCGGCUUUCGUAGCCGUGGGUCAUUGGUAUACCUUGUGUACGGAUGCACAGGAUAAGAGAGAUGUCUUCUGGGAGAAUAGAAGACGAGAGAAAAGUAUGAGAGAUUCAAGAAAGAGGGCUCGGAUUAUAGCUAUUCUGUGCAGAAGAGGAGUCAGGUGUAAUCUUCUUUUAUUUAAUGAAUCUUAUUUUACUCGCAUAUUUUUCUCUUUUAUGAUUAUAUCAGCUUCUGCUGAGGAGACGGGUUUAUGGUAAAAAUACGAUUUUACGCUUCCGUUGCGGAAUUCCAACAAUCGGUACCGGAUCCACAGCAGUCAGUAUUGAAGAGGGUUGCGGAUUCACACGAUCCGGUACCGGGGCAAGUACCGGAUUCCCAACACUUUGUCAUAAUCUUAAAUAGGUUCUGCUAUUUGGGAUAAUUGUUGAAUUCAGUUAUAAAAUUUUAUAAACAUAAAUCUACACAGUAAUAAAAUUAUAUAAAUUGAAUAAAUUGGUCAAUAAAUUAUAAAUUUUGAUAGCAUUAACAAAAUAUGAGAUCUCCUUUAUCUAAAUUUUUUAUAUAUUUUUUUAGUUGUAAAUUAGAUAUAUAUUAAAAUGUGGAACAAUAUAAUAUGCCAAUUCAUUUAAUAAAAUUUUACAGCAUAAUUUACUAAUUUCUUAAUUUUUUGAGUCUAUUUAAGAUGGGUUAUUUGCAUACACGUCCCUGCAAAUAUAGUGAAUUGCAAAAAUAUCCCUGCAAAACGGAAACUCUCCCUACAAAAGUCCUAAGUUAUGCAGAUAUGUCCCUGCCGUCCAGAUCUGCUAGAAAAUUUUUGUUAACCACGAUUAAAAUAUUUAACCAUGGUUAAUUAUAGUGUGAAUUGACGUAUUUAUCCUUCUUCCUCUUCCUCAUCCUCCUCUUCCUCUUUCUUCUUCUUCGUUGCCGGCGAGGAGAUACGGCGGCGACGGUGGCGAACCCUCUUCCUUUUCCUCUUUCCUCUUCCUCUUUUCCCUUCUUCUUCCUUCUUCCUUCUUCCUCUUCCUCUUCCCUCUUCUUCGUCACCGGACACCGGCGAGGGAGAAGAACCUCGUCGGGGUCGGCCUCGGAAAGGCGGGUGAGUUUCUGGACGAGAAGCUCGAGGGCGUUGUUGUCGACGAGGGCGGCGACGAGGGCAUGCGCGGGGUCGUCGUGGUCGCCGAGGACGUCGGCGUCGGUGAGGUCGCUGAGGAGGGAGAC